rnacentral:rRNA from 1 species
CCUACGGGAGGCAGCAGUGGGGGAUAUUGCACAAUGGAGGAAACUCUGAUGCAGCGACGCCGCGUGAGGGAAGACGGUCUUCGGAUUGUAAACCUCUGUCUUUGGGGAAGAAAAUGACGGUACCCAAAGAGGAAGCCCCGGCUAACUACGUGCCAGCAGCCGCGGGAAUACGUAGGGCGCGAGGGUUGGCUGGAAUUACGGGGUGAAAAGGGAGCGUAGGCGGGCGAGAAAGUUGAAUGUUAAAUCUACGGGCUAAACUGGUAGCUGCGUUCAAAACUUCUUGUCUUGAGUGAAGUAGAGGCGGGCAGAAUUCCUGGUGUAGCGGUGAAAUGCGUAGAGAUUAGGAGGAACACCAGUGGCGAAGGCGGACUGCUGGGCUUUAACUGACGCUGAGGCUCGAAAGCGUGGGGAGCAAACAGGAUUAGAUACCCGGGUAGUC